GCGACAUAUGUAUGAAACAUUGAACAUAAAUAAAAUAAAAAAACUUAUUAUAUAGUUUGUCUGUAAUUUGCGAGAUGAAUCUUUUGAGCUUAAUUAGUUUAUGAUUGGACAAUAUUUUUUUUUGUCUUAGGAACUAAACAAGGCCUUAAUGGAUGCGGGCCUAUGAGUUAGAGUGCAUGGGGACCAGCACCUACAUAAUGCAUGGGAGUAUAUAUUUGCAACAUGUAUGAGACGUCUGAUUUUUCCCAUCAGCCAUCAUGUUCCUAGGCUCUAGGCUGCAGGCUUAAGCACCACUAUGCUAGGCGCUAGGCAGCGGCAGGCCUCCGGCAGCAAGAGCAGCAGCGUCAGCAACACUGCAGGUUGUACAGAGGAGGCAGGCAGAACGAGAGUAUUACUGGGGCGAGCGAGCGACGGGCGGGUCGACGAUUUACUUUCACCAUUUUUAGUAGUAGGAUUAAAUAUGUUAAUGUGGCAUCAUAUUAAUGAAGAGAGAGAUUAUAAGAGUUUCAUGAGAGUAACACUAUUUCCAAGAUAUGGAUGUGUUGGAAACUGAAUCAUGAAACUUCCACUGAAGAUAGCCUCAGUGCACAUAACAUCACAAGAUCAUUUGAGUUGUAAUUUUGAUCUCUGAAAUGCAUAUAUAAUGCAAUGAACUUAUGCAUUUAUUAAUUUUUGUUAUAUUUGUUUGGCUUGGCUUUAUUUUUUAAUAUGGUAGUAAAUAUGUAUAUGAAGUAUUUUUUUUGUUUAACUUUUUUGUGAUGGCAGUUAUGGGACAUUUUCGUACAUUGAUUUGGAUUAAUUUCUCUUAAUAUUAGUGGUAAGUAAUUUAUAAAAAAUAUUAGAUGUGGAUUGAGUUUUCAUAGCACAAAUGGUGAGUAAUCUAUGAAUAUGUAUAGGGGCAUAUUGUGUUAAUUUUGGAUGAUGGCAGUGAUGUGUAGAGAAACAUACACACAUAGGUUCUUUUAUCUAAUUAACGUUGAAAUUUGUAGACUUAGCUUGUAAGGGCACUCACAGUGCAGACUCUAUCAUAGAGUCUAAAGUUAUUUAUUACCUCGAACAAUAUGGACUUAGAGUCUAAAUAAGACUUGGAGUCUUAUUUUUUCUACCUCUUUCUUCAAUAAAUAUGCUGCCACAUCAGCAAAAUACCAUAAAUAAUGUAUAAUUAAUUGUCUUGGACUCUGUGAUAGAGUCUUGCAUUGUGAGUGCCCUAAGCAAACGUGGACGCUCCUACGCAGAUAACAAGACAAGGAUCUAGAUUGUUGAGGGAAAUAAAGGCUUGCUUAAUUAGGAUUAGUGAAAGUUUGGACCUUACAUUCAAUGGCUGUCGUGGCCUCCACCAUACCAUCUCUUUCUGCUUUCUUGGAGAUAAACUAUGUUGCCUUCUGAUGAUCCUGCUACUUUAUUCAGUGAUUUUGAUUUGUAAUCAGAUUGUUCUAGGGAAAGUGAAAGUGCCGGAUGCCUAGAAGAAAUCACGUGGAUUGGUUCCACUGAAUGGGAUGGAGAAUUGGGUGCGAAGGAAUCGAAUCGAGAUUGUGUGAAACCAAUCCUGUUCUUCUAAUUAAUUUCUUUUAGAGUUCAGGAAACCGUAUGAAUGCUAGUAGUUACUUUGGCAUAUGCUGUAAGGUCUGCGUCUAGAAACUUUAAGAGUUGGCUGCAUCUCCAUUCCGGCUAAGUGGAACCAUAUAAUCCAGUAAGAGAAAAGUCUGUUUGCUUGCCUAUGAGCGGAAGCAGUUUGUAUGAGUGG
rnacentral:lncRNA from 1 species